rnacentral:rRNA from 1 species
GACGAACGCUGGCGGCGUGCUUAACACAUGCAAGUCGAACGGAAAGGCCCUGCUUUUGUGGGGUGCUCGAGUGGCGAACGGGUGAGUAACACGUGAGUAACCUGCCCUUGACUUUGGGAUAACUUCAGGAAACUGGGGCUAAUACCGGAUAGGAGCUCCUGCUGCAUGGUGGGGGUUGGAAAGUUUCGGCGGUUGGGGAUGGACGCGCGGCUUAUCAGCUUGUUGGUGGGGUAGUGGCUUACCAAGGCUUUGACGGGUAGCCGGCCUGAGAGGGUGACCGGCCACAUUGGGACUGAGAUACGGCCCAGACUGCUACGGGAGGCAGCAGUGGGGAAUAUUGCACAAUGGGCGGAAGCCUGAUGCAGCAACGCCGCGUGCGGGAUGACGGCCUUCGGGUUGUAAACCGCUUUCGCCUGUGACGAAGCGUGAGUGACGGUAAUGGGUAAAGAAGCACCGGCUAACUACGUG